ACUGACCAACACGGAGCUUUUCAAUUUCUGAUCUAUGUAAGCAACUCUCCUAAGAGCUCCAGUAAACAGCUCCAGGUCAGUCUCACCACUGUGUGAAAACACCUAGACCAUCUCAAGUUCAUCCGCGGGGGAAACCAAGUGCGGAGAAGUUGUGAGAGGAAACCCACGGCAGGAAGCGGGCAACUCUGCUUGGCAUGGCUCCUGGUGCAGAGCGUCUAUUCAGAGAUUCGAUGGUGAGCCGGAGUGAAGAGAGCUUAGAUGAGUCCUCAUGUUCCACAUUCAUCCCAUCUCAUCCCAGGGAGGCUCUGGCUUCCACAGGAUUGAACAGAUGUGAAGACUUGACUGUGCCAUUUUCCCAGGCAAUGUGACUGGACAGCUGUUGGCACAGAAAAUUACCAGGAAGGGUUGCCUGCUGACCAUACCUCCCUGCAAGCCAGUUCACAUUGGCUACAAAAAGCUUCAUGGGGACAGAAACGGAGUACCUGUGAAUCACUGCCAAGGUAUAACUCAGCGUGUAUGUCAAGGUUAGACCUCUGUGCCAAUAAAGAUUCAUUAAGU